rnacentral:rRNA from 1 species
GACGAACGCUGGCGGCGUGCUUAACACAUGCAAGUCGAACGGAAAGGCCCUGCUUUUGUGGGGUGCUCGAGUGGCGAACGGGUGAGUAACACGUGAGUAACCUGCCCUUGACUUUGGGAUAACUUCAGGAAACUGGGGCUAAUACCGGAUAGGAGCUCCUGCUGCAUGGUGGGGGUUGGAAAGUUUCGGCGGUUGGGGAUGGACUCGCGGCUUAUCAGCUUGUUGGUGGGGUAGGGGAUUACCAAGGCUUUGACGGGUAGCCGGCCUGAGAGGGUGACCGGCCACAUUGGGACUGCGAUACGGCCCAGACUCCUACGGGAGGCAGCAGUGGGGAAUAUUGCACAAUGGGCGGAAGCCUGAUGCAGCAACGCCGCGUGCGGGAUGACGGCCUUCGGGUUGUAAACCGCUUUCGCCUGUGACGAAGCGUGAGUGACGGUAAUGGGUAAAGAAGCACCGGCUAACUACGUG